rnacentral:rRNA from 1 species
UGGGCUGCAACUCGCCCACAUGAAGCUGGAUUCGGUAGUAAUCGCGUGUCACAAGCGCGCGGUGAAUACGUCCCUGCUCCUUGCACACACCGCCCGUCAAAGCACCCGAGUGAGGUCCGGAUGAGGCUCGUUACACGAGUCGAAUCUGGGCUUCGCAAGGGGGCUUAAGUCGUAACAAGGUAGCCGUAGGGGAAUCUGCGGCUGGAUCACCUCCA